rnacentral:rRNA from 1 species
UGAGGGAAAGUUGCAAAGAACUUUGAAGAGAGAGUUCAAGAGUACGUGAAACUGCUCAGGGGCAAACGGGUGGGCCCUCGAAGUCCCGGCGGAGAGGGAUUCAGUUCCGGGCGUUUUCCGGGGGACGUUCCCGUCGCAUCCUCUGGGCGAGGCCGCGACGGGGUCGCGUCUCCUCGGCGCCGGGGACGCACUUCUCUCUCCCGAGAGGACGCCGCAGCCUCUCGGGCUCCGGCAGUGGGGAUCCGCUGCGCGGGUAGGUGGCGUGGGCGCCGACGGCGCCCCGUGUCUGGCCCCUUCGGAUCCGGGCGCGGAGCCCGAGAGAGGGAAGAGGUCCCCGCAGUGGCGGGGACUUGCCGUCGCCUCGUCCCGACAAGGGAAUGAACGAGCGGCGCGCGCGUAUCAGGGACGCUGAGUGUUCCGGACGUCACCGGGCGGUGGCGCCGGGCUCGCGGUACCCGCUGGGUCGCGCGUCUGGAUAGCCGCGGCGCGGGCGACGACGGCUGGCGGCGAGUAGGUCGGUAACCCACCCGACCCGUCUUGAAACACGGACCAAGGAGUCUAACAUGUGCGCGAGUCAGUGGGACUCGAAAAAGCCCACGGGCGAAGCGAAAGAGAAACUGUCGUGAUCCCCGUCACUGAGAUGGCGGGGCGCAGCGACGGCCUGGGGUUCCAGAAUGGCACUCCGCCUCGCCCUCGCGGCGGCGGCGGGGGAGCCUUCCCCCCGGAGCCUGAGCGUACACGUUGGGACCCGAAAGAUGGUGAACUAUGCCCGGGCAGGUCGAAGCCAGAGGAAACUCUGGUGGAGGACCGCAGCGGUUCUGACGUGCAAAUCGAUCGUCGAACCUAGG